rnacentral:rRNA from 1 species
ACGUAGGGGACAAGCGUUAUCCGGAUUUACUGGGCGUAAAGCGCGCGCAGGUGGUCGAGCAAGUUGGCCGUGAAAGCUCCCGGCUUAACUGGGAGAGGUCGGUCAAAACUACCGGACUUGAGAGCGAUAGAGGAAAAUGGAAUUCCCGGUGUAGUGGUGAAAUGCGUAGAUAUCGGGAGGAACACCAGUGGCGAAAGCGAUUUUCUGGAUCGUUUCUGACGCUCAGACGCGAAAGCUAGGGUAGCAAACGG